rnacentral:rRNA from 1 species
UGGGGAAUUUUGGACAAUGGGCGAAAGCCUGAUCCAGCAAUGCCGCGUGUGUGAAGAAGGCCUUCGGGUUGUAAAGCACUUUUGUCCGGAAAGAAAUCCUUGGCUCUAAUACAGUCGGGGGAUGACGGUACCGGAAGAAUAAGCACCGGCUAACUACGUGCCAGCAGCCGCGGUAAUACGUAGGGUGCAAGCGUUAAUCGGAAUUACUGGGCGUAAAGCGUGCGCAGGCGGUUUGCUAAGACCGAUGUGAAAUCCCCGGGCUCAACCUGGGAACUGCAUUGGUGACUGGCAGGCUAGAGUAUGGCAGAGGGGGGUAGAAUUCCACGUGUAGCAGUGAAAUGCGUAGAGAUGUGGAGGAAUACCGAUGGCGAAGGCAGCCCCCUGGGCCAAUACUGACGCUCAUGCACGAAAGCGUGGGGAGCAAAACAGGAUUAGAUACCCUGGUAGUCCACGCCCUAAACGAUGUCAACUAGUUGUUGGGGAUUCAUUUCCUAGUAACGUAGCUAACGCGUGAAGUUGACCGCCUGGGGAGUACGGUCGCAAGAUUAAAACUCAAAUGAAUUGACGGGGUCAUAGCUGUUUCCU